UCUCAUGAAAAAAAUAUGGUGGAAGUGAUGCUGUGUGACUUUUGAGACUAUGUCAUAAUAGGAAUUGUGGCCUUCUCCUUGUUCUCUCUCUUGGAUCACUAGUUCUUGAGCCGUUAGGAUAUUCAACCAGCCUCACAGAAAGGUCCAUAUGGCAAGGGACUAAGCCUACCUGCCAGUAGUCAGCAAGGAGCUGAACUGAGGCAUCCUGCCAAUAGCCAUGUGAAUGAGCCAACUUGGAAGCAGAUCCUCUAGUUCCAGUCAAGCCUUCAGAUGACUGCAACUCUGAUUAGCAUCUUGACUACAACCUCAUGAGAGGUGCUGAGGCAGAAUCAUGCAGCUAAGCAACCCUCAAAUUCCUGACCCAGAAAAACUAUGAGAACAGAAGUGGCCACCUGUGGUGUUGCUUGGUGAACUGAUUGUCCAGAUCUCAGCCAGCUGACUAGAAAGACUGAAAAGGAAGCAGUCUUUGGUUAAAGAAAGGAUUCCUAAAUUUCUGAAGUUGGACUCUGCUGAUUGUAGGAAAAGAUUGGAUGAUAUCAGAAACCAAAGAAGCUUCUAAAGAGUGAGAAGAAGACAUCUAUACUAUUUUCUAGAGGAAUAAGGAAUGAAAUACCACAGUGAGGAAACAAUUUACAUUGGAGAUUGUGUAUGUAUGUUUAAGUUACUGAAUGUCUAUGAAAUAAA